UAAUUUUGUGCUUUCAACAUUUGUAUUACCCAUUUUAUGUUUUCUUUUCCUCCAAUUCAAAUUAUGGUCUUAAAUUCCAUGGAGACGUAUCCCUUUCCCAUUGACAUUUGGGAGAGUGCAAGGUGGGGAGUGGUGCACUGGAGUCACAGUUGUAGAAUAGUGGAGUCCCUACAGAAUUUCUAAUUAGGUGAUUAAAAGAACAUUAGGAAAACACAUUGACCAUCAUUUGUACAAACAUACAAAAUUGUUUAACAGGAAAGUACCAACUGGUCCAUCUAAUCAUUGUAAUGAAAUGAAACUUGCUCAUUUUGGACUUUUGCACUGUAUUUAUGGAAAUAAAACCAAUAGGAGAGAUUUCCUGAAUCCGUCAGAUCAUUGGAUCACCUGGACAAAACAACUAUCUAAAAAUUGGACAUCUCAAAGCUACAAAGAAAUCCAUCCAAUUUUCUUACAUUAAUUUAAAUGGAGGGACAUUCUUACGUUCCUUUACAGGGGUGAACUCCAAUCUACCCAAACAUCCAUUAUUCACAGUGUCCAGGAAAUCCAGAGCACCAGAGGGCAAAACCGGAAAAAUCUCCCAUUUUAGUAUUUACUAA